GAUGAAGAACGUAGCGAAAUGCGAUAAGUAGUGUGAAUUGCAGAAUUCCGUGAAUCAUUGAAUCUUUGAACGCACAUUGCGCCUCCUGGUAAUCCGUGAGGCAUGCCUGUCCGAGCGUCAGUAAAAAGCAACUCGGCCGCGGCUGGCGGUUGGUGAUGGAGGAAGAGCACGUCUCGUUGUCGGUCUCCCCUCCCAAAAUCAACGGCGGAAUGUCACUGGCACUCGGUGUUGUAGUAUUAUUCGCCGAUCACCCAUUGUUGUUCCUGCCGCCCAAACCCCCACAAUUCUCUUGAUUGACCUCGGAUCAGGUAGGGAUACCUGCUGAACUUAAGCAUAUCAAUAAGCGGAGGA
rnacentral:misc_RNA from 1 species